GUGAUCCGGUGGUUCUGAAUGGAAGGGCCAUCGCUCAACGGAUAAAAGGUACUCCGGGGAUAACAGGCUGAUACCGCCCAAGAGUUCAUAUCGACGGCGGUGUUUGGCACCUCGAUGUCGGCUCAUCACAUCCUGGGGCUGAAGUAGGUCCCAAGGGUAUGGCUGUUCGCCAAUUUAAGUGGUACGCGAGCUGGGUUUAGACGUCGUGAGACAGUUCGGUCCCUAUCUGCCGUGGGCGCUGGAGAAUUGAGGGGGGCUGCUCCUAGUACGAGAGGACCGGAGUGGACGCAUCACUGGUGUUCGGGUUGUCAUGCCAAUGGCACUGCCCGGUAGCUAAAUGCGGAAGAGAUAAGUGCUGAAAGCAUCUAAGCACGAAACUUGCCCCGAGAUGAGUUCUCCCU
rnacentral:rRNA from 1 species